UCCCUGGUGGUCCAGUGGCUAAGACCUCACACUCCCAAUGCCAAGGGUCCGGGUUCAAUCCCUGGUCAUGGAA
rnacentral:tRNA from 1 species